rnacentral:rRNA from 1 species
AGUGAACGCUGGCGGCGUGCCUAAUACAUGCAAGUCGAACGGAGUGGCGCACGGGUGAGUAAUGUAUAGCUAAUCUUCCCUACACUAGAGGACAACAGUUGGAAACGACUGCUAAUACUCUAUAGUGUAGGUUGAGGCUAUAUUGUAUCAGCUAGUUGGUGAGGUAAUGGCUGACCAAGGUUAUGACGCAUAACUGGUGUGAUAGGAUGAUCAGGCAACCUGGAACUGAGACACGGUCCAGACUCCUACGGGAGGCAGCAGUAGGGAAUAUUGCUCAAUGGGGGUAACCCUGAAGCAGCAACGCCGCGUGGAGUAUGACACUUUUCGUAGAGUAAACUCAUUUUGUUAGGGAAGCGGUACCUAACGAAUAAGCACCGGCUAACUCCGUGCCAGCAGCCGCGGUAAUUC